AAUACAUUGACACUCAUGUGGAUCAGUAAUAAUUUAAAAAUAGAAAUUGUGUUAGAUAUAGCGUAAAUUGGAUAACAUUGAAUAGAAUUAUGAUGAAAACGGAUAUAACUAUUAUUCUUUCCUUAUGGGUGACAUUAUUUAAAGUUUGGCUGGUGUAGGAAACUAUAUUUGAUAUUGUGCAAAAAUUUAACGUUAACGAAAAUAUCGUCAUUAAAUAUUUAAAAAGAAUGCCGGAAUAGAAAAUAAGCAAGUGUAAGUUUUCGCUCAUGUGUUCCAGAGGAACUAGACAAAGUGGCAUAUAAUUGACAUAAAUGUAUUGUAUGUGUUUAUAUGCAUGUUAUCUAGAGUGUAUCACAAUGGAUACAUGUACUGUAAUUAAACAUUUCUAUCGUAAACGGUCAAUACGAUACGGAAUUCUGGUUUGCUUCGCUUUUUUCAUUGUACUAAAAUGUACAAACAUCGGAAAUACAACUGUCUUAUACAGACUUAUCAGUGAAUCAAAUAUACAUAUGUUCGGAUAUAAAGACGAUGAACACCUGUCGUAUGAUAUUAAAGACAUAAGUGAUGCUAGAAGUGGUGUAAAGGGUAACACAUUAAGUGACACUAUGAAUGAAGUUUUAAAUUUAGCAAGAAACAUUAGUUCAUAUAAUAGGACAGUUUUAGUCAGCAUAAUAAAUAACGCAUAUUUACCAUUUGCUUAUAGCUGGCUAUGCAACACAAAGGCUAUGGGAGUUCAUAAAUCUGUAUUAGUAAUUACAACGGAUAAUGAAUCUAAAAUUAAGCUUAAUAGAGACUGGCCUGAGGUGUCAGUCUUCAACUUAAAACUUGAUAUGCCCAAUGGUGAUCAGAUAUGUGGCCGUGUUGGCUAUCUUACAAUUAUGGUUCGUAGGACAGAAAUAAUUUUGUCUUUAUUACAGGCAAAUAUUGACUUAUUUUUAUUUGAAUUUGACUGCGUUUGGUUUUCAAAUCCAACACCUGGCUUUCAAAAGCGAUCUGGUGUUGACAUGUUGGUGAAUCUAGCUUAUAAAUCCGCCGAAGGAAAUAUUUUCAGCGGAGGAUUUCUUUAUCUUUUUGCAACAAACCGGACUAAAGCUCUCUGGAAUAAACUGACAAAAAUGAUGUGGAAGCUUGAACGAGAAAUAAAGGACAAACCAGAUAAAAAAGCAGUAUCCAACAGGCAAGAUGACAGAACUUUCUUAUCUAAGUUAAUCAACAAAAGAUAUGCUAACAUUACUAUACAAUUACUAAACAGAGAUGUAUACGUUAAUGGUAGAUGGUACAAAAUGACUAACGCCAAGAGGCAGAAAUUACACCCUAUUAUUAUCAUGAACAACUGGAUACUAGGAAACAAGAAUAAAAUCAACAGAGCAAAGCAAUGGAACCAUUGGUUUCUACGUCCUGAUAAUACCACGUGUGACCUGGAAAUGGUUCUUCCUGCAUCCUACAAAACAAAAGCAGAGAGUCAUAACAGCUGCGUGAGCACUGUCUGCCACUUGACAAAACUACGAAUUCACUGUCAAGCGCAACAUAUAUUAAUACCUACGGUAUGGAAAAAGUUUCAAGGCCGAAGUUAAGGAUAAGUCAAAGCUCAAAUGGUGUAAGUAAAUCUGGACGAGGUCACCAAUAAUCAUCAAUGCAUUGAUUCAAUUCUAUGGUGACGAAGAGCAAGAAAUCGUUUUACGGCAUUUCGGUUCCCGUAGUUAGAACCGUGCUACUGCAAGAGAUAUCAUGCGUUGUUAAUGUAUCUGACGUUGACUGGCAAAUUGUGAGCAUGUUAGUGGAUAACUGCAGUACAGUGCGAAGUGUGUCUGGAUGUGUUGAAGCUCUUGUACGUUAAAUAAAAACAAGAAUGUUUGAUAAGAGCGGCGAUAGUGUGCACAUGAUCAGUAACACUGCAAUAACAUUUCUCAGUAAUGUGGAAAAAAGUGUACACCCAUUUGGUUCUGAUCUGUUUUAUGACAUAAAAGAGUUACCGAUUGUGAAACAAAUUUUCCACGAACUACAAAUCUUGUUGAGCAUUGCUUCGCCUAAGCAUCUGAUUCAGUUCAUUCCAGUGCUAGAUGUUUCCACCAGAGUGGUAGAAUUACUGGACCCUUUUGAAGUUUACUAUAACAGUCUUCUAUCCGAGGAAGAGAAAAUAAAUUACAGAUUGUGGCUAAUAACAAGCAUAGACAGCUACUGUUCUAAUACUAAUAACAGAAGUCAAGAGCAUGCUCUGAAAGGAAGGGCAGAAUACAUUUUAAGAACAGAAGGGAAACUGUAAUGUUGAACACAUUUAAAGGCUUACUUGAUGUCUUUCAGGGGCAUUGGCAAGGUUUUCCAGUCUGAAAAGCAUUUAGUUCAUAUCCUUCACACAAGAACAUUCGAAGUACCCGUUAGGUAUUAGUUGUUAGGCCUUUUCAUGAAACCUGCGCAUAUUCCAGAUGGAGUAAGUAGGCUAGUGAAGCUUGAUGUCACAGACAGAAACAUCCAGCAGGGUGGCCAAAAUCUGGUAUAGGAACGUUUGCGCAUAUGGAAAUGAAUAAGCCAGAAUUGACAAAUCUUGCCAUCAUGUGGUGAACGAAUUGUACAGUAAUCUUAGAACUGGCUAUGUCAUGGUUGUUAAAAAUGAUACAGAUGCCCCCAACCACACUAUCUGAAAGAGAUUGGUUAAUGAGCCAGAUUUUGUUGGGAACAGUCAAGUGGCAGAAUCAUGUGGAAAUUGGCCAAGAAAAUGCACAAAGUGUUUACCAGAAGACCUUGAAGUGCUGUCUGUGGAUGCUGCUGCCAGGUAUAAUAUUAAUCAGCUCUUACUAGACUAGGCAUCACUAUACAAAGAAGACAACCUUGUUAAUACUGGAUACUGGACUAUAGUAUUUUCACUGAAAAACUUCAACGAAGUCCGGUUUCCUACACGGAAAAAAAACUUGUGACUGCAUUGCUUGUGACGGGGCUUUGCGCCGGAGCCCCUAUCGGCCCCUUGGUCCCCAGAGUUUUCUUGAUUAAUUACUUAUUGUUAAUUUACAAAUGUUUAAUGCUAUGUGCUACUUACUAAACCUUAUAGGCCAUAUAAUAUAUGAUAAUUGCUAAUUGUCAAAUUCGUUAACUUGUAAAUGAAUCUAUAUUUUAUCUAAUAAUUGUAAUUUUGAUUAUUUGAAAAGAUUUAAUGUUUUACAAGUCUGAUUGUUCCAUUUCUCAUAGGAAUAUGUGACCGGAACUAUUGUACUCUAAAAUGUUUAAAGAAAAUUUUACCGGGGAAAUAGUUACGUUAACAAAGGACGGUCGCUAUUUAAAUUGAUAUAUUCAGCUGUUUAUCUGAAUAAUGACUUAAGCAUUUUAUAUAUCAAAAUAACAAUUAACAUAUAUCAAAUAUCAACACCUGUCAAAUAGUACAUAUACAGUAGUUAUGGGCGGGGAUAACGUAUUCUAGUUACUGCAAAAAUAGACAUUCUCCCAGAUCUCAAUGUAUUUUAAUUGUAUCGCUUCAAGAUCAAGCUGGCACAUGAAGCUGAAAUGUUGUGAUCUCUGAAUUCGUUUCUAAACCUCACGACAACAUGCAAAAACAGUGUUCUAAAUGUGUCGUCCCUAGACCGUCACUGCUGGAGAUAAAUCCCAACCAGAAUACCUUCGCAACACCACAGUCUUUAAAGUCAUCAUGAAAUAUACCUUUCAUAAAAUCUUGCCAUGCUGGAAGUACAUAUUCAACGGGGACUACAAAUUCAAUGAACACAAAUACCAGUGGAAUUCGCGAAUCAAGAUUAAAAGUAGAACAUACACUAUGAAAUUUCAGAACGGCCAUUGGGAAUUCAAAUUUACAUUACUUCUUGAUAGGAAAAAAUACAGAGUUGGCAGAAGUUAGGCCAGGAAGUGUGACAGCAAAUAUCUUUUCGCGUGAAAUGGAAUAUAAAACAGAUGAUUGUUUUCUUUGUAGCGUUCAUCUGAGAGGUAGUGCAUUUUGUAUACUAGUGAUCAAAUGGAUGGUGUAAGCUGAUGCAAGUGUCCAUACGUAUAAAUAAGAGAAUAAGGUUAAAACAACUGAUAGAACCAUGUAUAGUUUUCAAAAACAAACUUUAAUCAUCACUGAUAUGUACAAUUCAUACAGGAACUAAGGACGAAUUGACAACAACAUAUCUCAAUGAUAAUACUACACAUGACAGGAUAUGUUUUCUUUGUUUGUUUGUUUAGUCUAACGCCAUUUUUCAACAGUAUUUCAGUUAUUUAACGGCGGGCAAAUAUCCGAACCAGUGUUCUUCAAUUCUGUACCAGUACACACACAGUACAGUACCAGUAUGUUCUCUGCAAGUAACUGCCAACUUACCCAUAUGAAUCAGAGGUGGAGGAAGAAUGAUUUUGGACACAGUGACUUCUAUCAAAUCGUCAAGGAGAACAAGUGCGUCACCCUAGGAUCGAACUCACUACCCCGCGAUACGUAGAUCCGCGUUCGUUCUCUUUUUUGAGUUAAGCAGGAUACGUAUGCAGAAUCAGGCCCUAUACUAGUGCGUGACUGGAAUGUAUUCGUAUCACGGAUAAUUGAAGUAUUCUUGUAAAUAAGAACAGUUUAGAACUAUUCAUUGCUUAGCACUCGGACGCUCUACCACUAGGCUACCGAGGCGGCUACUAUGAUAACAUAAUAGUGCCCGAUAACACUUGCCUGAUAUUCCUUGUUGUCACGUCAAUGCCCUGAUAACAAAUGGCCAUCACAUUUUUCAAUGUUAUAUACGAAAAUAAAUGUUGUUUUUCAUUGCAAACUACAUAGCGAACAUACAUAAAAUGACAAAUUUAUCAGGCUUUCUCCAUCUUAAUUACUGAUCAGUAUGUCGGCUAGUUAUUGCAAGUCUCAGUGGAAACCUAAAAUUGUUCGGAAUUAUUUAUCUUCAUUAAAAGUUUGAGAAAUGCAAUAUGGUUUUGUACAUCAUGAGGUUUACGUUGAUUAUAUUUUAUAUGGGGCUUCAACGUUUAAAUGAAUACUCUUUUCUGUACUUUCAUAAAACUAAGAUGUAGUUGCUGUAGACUUAGGUACCGGUUUCUAAUCUUUCCAGGGAAAUGUUUGAGUCUCUGGUAUCGUGCGCGUUCCAUACACAAGGAUAUCAAGACAACAUGCAGAACCCAUAUUCUAAUUGUGUUGAUCCUAGUUAAAGGUAACUACUUGGGAAUAUAUCAAAACCACUUAACCUUCACAACACCUAAAUCUUUAAAAUCAUUACGGAAUAAACCUUUUUCAAAAUCUGAUGUUUCUGGAAACACUUAUUCAGCGGGGUUUAUCAUUUCAAUGCAUACGAAAACGGAAUUACAGACCUUGAAAUACAGACUUAAGUAAAUUUAUUAAUGAGCUGACACAGUCAUUGGGGUUACAUCUGACUAAGUCAUAUAUUCCUCCAAAGAAGGGAA
rnacentral:misc_RNA from 1 species